AGAGCAGGAGAUGCAGCCAAGGAUGACUUGCCGGCGGCCCCGAAUCCGAUCACCGGCAUGGUUAUUGCCGUCCCGGCCGGCAAGUCUGUCCUUGGCUACACCUUGCUCUCU
rfam:Dichanthelium oligosanthes cultivar Kellogg 1175 unplaced genomic scaffold Do_version_2_scaffold1011, whole genome shotgun sequence.